UGAGGAACAUGACCUUCGGCGGGGGAUAGCCGGCCCAACGGCCGGGUAAUACCGCGUACGACCUUCCGGGGACAUCCCUGGAUGGUGAAAGCAGCAAUGCGCCGAUGGAGUGCCUCGCGGCCUAUCAGCUAGUUGGUGAGGUAACGGCUCACCAAGGCGACGACGGGUAGCUGGUCUGAGAGGAUGGCCAGCCCACAGUUGGGACUGAGACACGGCCCAGACCUCCGUACGGGAGCCAG
rnacentral:rRNA from 1 species